rnacentral:rRNA from 1 species
GAUGAACGCUGGCGGCGUGCCUAAUACAUGCAAGUCGAGCGAACAGACGAGGAGCUUGCUCCUCUGACGUUAGCGGCGGACGGGUGAGUAACACGUGGAUAACCUACCUAUAAGACUGGGAUAACUUCGGGAAACCGGAGCUAAUACCGGAUAAUAUAUUGAACCGCAUGGUUCAAUAGUGAAAGACGGUUUUGCUGUCACUUAUAGAUGGAUCCGCGCCGCAUUAGCUAGUUGGUAAGGUAACGGCUUACCAAGGCAACGAUGCGUAGCCGACCUGAGAGGGUGAUCGGCCACACUGGAACUGGGACACGGUCCAGACUCCUACGGGAGGCAGCAGUAGGGAAUCUUACGCAAUGGGCGAAAGCUUGACGGAGCAACGCCGCGUGAGUGAUGAAGGUCUUCGGAUCGUAAAACUCUGUUAUUAGGGAAGAACAAAUGUGUACGUAACUAUGCACGUCUUGACGGUACCUAAUCAGAAAGCAACGGCUAACUACGUG